UUAGCGGACAUCCAUUGUUUAAUUUCAUUAAGACACGCCUCCAGCUGACUACAAUCCGGCGUGUUGGUCAGCUUUAGGGGCAUGUAGAGUUGGGUGUCAUCAGCAUAACAGUGAAAGCUAACACCGUAUUUGUAUAUGAUGUCACCUAGCGGCAGCAUGUAGAUGCUGAAGAGUGCAGGGCCAAUCUUUCAUCCUCGCUCAAAUUAAUGGGGAAAUUGUCGCUUUCUCGGUCCAAAUCACUCUAGCUGCUGGUGGCCAUGAUUUUAAACAAUGUUCAGAUGUGAGGAGCUCCACAACCCGUGACGUCACGCGCACAUCGUCUGCUACUUCCGGUACAGGCAAGGCUUUUUUAUUAGCGACCAAUAGUUGCAAACUUUAUCAUGGAUGUUCUCUACUAAAUCCUUUCAGCAAAAAUAUGGCAAUAUGGCGCAAUGAUCAAGUAUGACACAUAGAAUGGACCUGCUAUACCCCUUUAAAUAAGAACAUCUCAUUUCAGUAGGCCUUUAAGAGCAGGGACCAUCAUGAAAGAUAAGGAUGGUACAUUUCUACAUGAUAAGAUCUGCUACUGUCCUGGGUUCAAAUCCAGGCUCGGGAUCUUUCUGUGUGGAGUUUGCAUGUUCUCCCCGUGAAUGCGUGGGUUCCCUCCGGGUACUCCGGCUUCCUCCCACUUCCAAAGACAUGCACCUGGGGAUAGGCCCCUCCCACCUCCAAAGACAUGCACCUGGGGAUAGGUUGAUUGGCAACACUAAAUUGGCCCUAGUGUGUGAAUGUGAGUGUGAAUGUUGUCUGUCUAUCUGUGUUGGCCCUGCGAUGAGGUGGCGACUUGUCCAGGGUGUAGCCCGCCUUCCGCCCGAUUGUAGCUGAGAUAGGCGCCAGCGCCCCCCGCGACCCCGAAAGGGAAUAAGCGGUAGAAAAUGGAUGGAUGGAAGAUCUGCUACUAUGAAUAUUACUGAGUUACCUGUUACAUCUCAGGACAACGGGUGUGUACUUGUGGUUUAAAGACUACUUUACACGCUAUGUCAACCUUUUCCAGCGUGUCUUUACAGUAGCAAAAUGUAUGUUUGAGGACUAUAUCAGACAACAUGGGUUGCCAGAGUGUAGUCACACAGACCAGGUAGGCAAUUGGAGUCAGACCUUGUAAAACACUUUGGAAAACCUUGCUGGAAUAGUUACCUCUACUGCCCCCCAGUGGCCGUUAGAAAGGAUGCACACAUUUUGUGUUGAAGUCCUUAAAGCUGUCUUUCACUUUUUGUCUUGUCCUUUGUGUCCCAGAUGAAGUCGUGAGUGGCUCGGGGGAGGAUAGGCGGGACAUUAGCUCGGCAACAUUCUUCUUUUCUUUUUACAAGAACUUUGCUGACAAAGUGCAAGUGUUUGUGGGCGUUACUGUACAUGUUGGUAUUGAUCACACCACCCAGUAAAUACAGGGAACGUUUUCAAAAUCAUUAAAUGAUUUUGACUUUCAUUUUGUGAACAAUAUAAACAUAUAUUAAUAUAAACAUAUGGAGGAGUCAGAUGGGGUGGUUAGGGCAUCUGGUCAGGAUGCCACCUGAACGCAUAGGGAGGUGUUUAGGACACGUCUGACGGGUAGGAGGCCACCAGGAAGACCCAAGACACCUUGGGAACGCCUCGGGAUCCAGGAGCUGGACGAAGUGGCUGGGGAGAGCGAAGUGUGGGUUUCCCUGCUUAGGCUGCUGCCCCCGCGACCCGACCUCAGAUAAGCGGAAGAAGACGGAUGGAUGGAUGAAUAAACAUAUAUGAAUACAACAAUAGUCGUGUGGAGAGAGAGUUUGGCCAACCCGGGUUUGGACUCAGUGUCUAACAAGGCGCCCUCUAGUCACCUGAGGGGAUUUGACCAACUAUUACAUCUUAUGCUGUUGCUAUGUACCUAUCUUUAAUGUUUAUAGUACACAAUGAAUCAUAUUUAGCUGUGAAA